GCUCUCAUAGCUCAGUUGGAAGAGCACCAGGUUGCGAACUUGGUUGUCGUAGGUUCGAGCCCUGCUGGGAGCACCA
rnacentral:tRNA from 1 species